rnacentral:rRNA from 1 species
UAUUUAAGUGAGGUGUGAAAUCCCCGGGCUUAACCUGGGAAUUGCAUUUCAGACUGGGUAGCUAGAGUACUUUAGGGAGGGGUAGAAUUCCACGUGUAGCGGUGAAAUGCGUAGAGAUGUGGAGGAAUACCGAAGGCGAAGGCAGCCCCUUGGGAAUGUACUGACGCUCAUGUGCGAAAGCGUGGGGAGCAAACAGGAUUAGAUACCCUGGUAGUCCACGCUGUAAACGCUGUCGAUUUGGGGAUUGGGCUUUAAGCUUGGUGCCCGUAGCUAACGUGAUAAAUCGNCCNCCUGGGGAGUACGNCCGCAAGGUUAAAACUCAAAUGAAUUGACGGGGGCCCGCACAAGCGGUGGAGCAUGUGGUUUAAUUCGAUGCAACGCGAAGANCCUUACCUACUCUUGACAUCCCAUGGAAUCUUGUAGAGAUACGGGAGUGCCUUCGGGAACCAUGAGACAGGUGCUGCAUGGCUGUCGUCAGCUCGUGUUGUGAAAUGUUGGGUUAAGUCCCGCAACGAGCGCAACCCUUAUCCUUUGUUGCCAGCGAUUCGGUCGGGAACUCAAAGGAGACUGCCGGUGAUAAACCGGAGGAAGGUGGGGAUGACGUCAAGUCAUCAUGGCCCUACGAGUAGG